CUUCAAAUUUUAGGGCUCAAAACUUUUUUUUUUUCAUUUCUCCACCAUUCUAGUUUCUCUCCCAAAUUCACAUAUUUCUAAUAUUAUUCUUCGAUUCUGAGGCACUUCGCAAUCCAAGCCCCAUCCUCCUCUACUUCAAGACUCGACAUAGUCACUUCUCUCGUCUCGGCAGCAGCGAUAGGGCUUCCGCCUUUGUCGUAUCGGCUCCAUUUUUUCUUGUUCAGACUUUCCUUGAUCGACUUCGAUCGAGUUCUCCUCACUCAAACAUCAAGUUCUCCUCGCUCAGACUCUCCUCGAACGAGUUCUUCUCGUUCAGACAUUGAGUUCUUCAUACUCAGACCAUCGAGUUCUCCUCGCUCAGACCAUCGAGAUUUCCUCGCUCAGACAUCGAGUUAUCCUCGCUCAGUCAUCGAGUUCUCCAUGCUCAGACCAUCGAGUUCUCCUUACUUAGACCAUCGAGUUUUCCUUACUCAAACCAUGAGUUCUCCUCGCUCAGACAUCAAGUUCUCCUCGCUCAGGCAUCGAUUUCUUCUCGCUCAGACUCUCGUCGAUUGAGUUCUCCUCGAUCGACAUCAAGUUCUCCUCGCUCAGACUAUCCUCGAUCGACUUCCAUCAAGUUCUCCUCGAUCGACUUCCAUCGAGUUCUCCUCGAUCGACAUCCAAUUUCCUCACUCAUACUCUCCUUGAUUGACUUCUCGACUUUUUGCACUCGACUUCGACUUUCCCACUUCAAUUUCUCUUUCUUUAGAGCUCUCCAAACGAAAGAAUGUGAGUUCUCAUUUCUUAUCAGCAUUACCAAAGAAGUAUGCCAUCGAAAAGUUCAUUGAAAAAUUAGACAUCAGAGUAAAGUAGCCGUUGAUCUCACAUUCUAACCUUCUUCAGAGACAACAUAUUUGAGAGUUGUAAGGAAUGCAUUGAACAAACUGAGACUGAGAUGACAACUUCAACAACUAAUGUGGUUCAUGAUGCUUUGAGUAAGAUUCUUGGCCCUGACCAUGGUCAUGUAAGAGGAUUUGGGUUUGGUGGGACUCGUACAAAACUAUCUCUCUUGUCUCAACAAGAUAACAAGUACAAAGUUCUUGAAAAAAAAUAUAUAAAGAUAGAGGAAAUGAUAGAAAUGAAAGCAAUUAUGUCAUGUUUUAUAAAGAAACAGGUAUUCAUUUUCCUUUAAGUCACUUGCAUUCAUUUUUUUUUUUUUGUCAAUUUUUUUGUUUCAUAUGAAAUUAUCAUAGGUUGAACCAAGUGAGGAACUUUCAAAUGCUAUUGCAAGUGUACCUAAAGCAACAAAUAUUCCUUCAACUUUUCUAAUAUCAUCUCCAUUGGUAAAUUUAUUUAUAAUGUGAUGAGAAUUAUUCUUGAAUUCAUUAUUAUCUUAUUCUAAUACCUUAUAUUUUCCUUUUGAUAAAGUAUCAAUAAAAAUAGUCAAAUUAAGUGCAAGUUGUUAGAUUGGUAUGACUCAGAAGAGAUUGUUGUAGAAGAACAAUGGUCUUCUAAGAAUCCAGUUGCUCUCGUUCAUCACAUUCCUAUUGAUCCACAUGCAGUUAGAGUAUGGGUUGAUGUAUCAAAAAAAACCUGAUGCAUAUUUGUGGAGACCUACAUCUGAGAUGACAUGUAUUGAAGAAGCUUUGGACAGUACAGCUGCAUGACCAUAUGAUAAAGUGAUUAUUGCUGAAUGAAAUGAUGACUUACCAAAGGAAAAGGGAACCAACAAUGACAACUCAAUUACGUAUUUUUUAACACUUGGUGAAUUUUGAACACUUUGUAUUUUGAACACUUGGUCAAUUUUGAAUACUUUGUAUUUUGAGGGCUAACUUAUGUUGUUGGUGUGGUCACUAAAUACUUUAUCUAGCUUGCAUCAUUUAGACA